AUCGCUUCUCGGCCUUUUGGCUAAGAUCAAGUGUAGUAUCUGUUAUCAGAUACUGUUCUUUAUCUGCCUUUUGUUUUAGACAGCGAUCUCUUCCGGUUAGCUUUAAAACUCUUGCCUACUUGUGGCAUAGUUUGAUGCUAUUAGGAAGGACAUGGAUUACAGUGUUAACCUCCA
rnacentral:snRNA from 1 species